rnacentral:rRNA from 1 species
CAAGUCCGAUGCUAAAGACUGGGGCUCAACCCCAGGGGUGCGUUGGAUACUGUGAGGCUAGACGGUCGGAGGGGGUAGCGGAAUUUCCGGAGUAGCGGUGAAAUGCGCAGAUACCGGAAGGAACGCCAAUAGCGAAGGCAGCUACCUGGACGACUUGUGACGCUGAGGCGCGAAAGCGUGGGGAGCAAACCGGAUUAGAUACCCGGGUAGUCCACGCCCUAAACCAUGAGUGCUGGGUGUCCGGCUUCUGCUGGGUGCCGUAGCUAACGCGCUAAGCACUCCGCCUGGGAAGUACGCACGCAAGUGUGAAACUCAAAGGAAUUGACGGGGGCCCGCACAAGCGGUGGAGCAUGUGGUUUAAUUCGAAGCGACGCGAAGAACCUUACCAGGCCUUGACAUGCCCGGAACCCCUCUGAAAGGAGGGGGUGCCCGCAAGGGAGCCGGGACACAGGUGCUGCAUGGCCGUCGUCAGCUCGUGUCGUGAGAUGUUGGGUUAAGUCCCGCAACGAGCGCAACCCCUAUCCCUAGUUGCCAGCAGUUCGGCUGGGCACUCUAUGGAGACUGCCUGCGAAAGCAGGAGGAAGGCGGGGAUGACGUCUGGUCCGCAUGGCCCUUACGGCCUGGGCGACACACGUGCUACAAUGCCAAGGACAGAGCGCUGCUACCUCGCGAGAGGACGCCAAUCGCAAAAACCUUGGCUCAGUUCGGAUUGGAGU